UACCAGCACCCCGAGUGGUCGGGACGAUUAUUGGGCCUAAAGCAUCCGUAGCCGGUCCUACAAGUCUUCCGUUAAAUCCACCUGCUUAACAGAUGGGCUGCGGAAGAUACUAUAGGGCUAGGAGGCGGGAGAGGCAAGCGGUACUCAGUGGGUAGGGGUAAAAUCCACUGAUCCACUGAAGACCACCAGUGGCGAAGGCGGUUUGCCAGAACGCGCUCGACGGUGAGGGAUGAAAGCUGGGGGAGCAAACCGG
rnacentral:rRNA from 1 species